UACAGAGGGUGCAAGCGUUAAUCGGAAUUACUGGGCGUAAAGCGUGCGUAGACGGUUAUGUAAGUCAGGUGUGAAAGCCCCGGGCUCAACCUGGGAAUGCCAUUUGAGACUGCAUAGCUAGGGUACGGAAGAGGGAAGCGGAAUUUCAGGUGUAGCGGCGAAAUGCGUAGAUAUCUGAAGGAACACCAGUGGCGAAAGCGGCUUCCUGGUCCAGUACCGACGUUCAGGCACGAAAGCGUGGGGAGCAAACAGG
rnacentral:rRNA from 1 species